GCAUCUCCAAAAGUACCGAGCUCCUAUUAGCCACAGGGAAACGUCUGUAAGCUGUAGCAGCUGGUGUCACCUUCCCUGUGUGGAUCACAAGGUUCUUGGCAAUCACUUCCAUACCAGACCAUCUGCUUGGACGUCUAAAAAGGAAGAGUCUCGUGUGUCAACAAGCACACCAAGUGAAGCUUCCCAGCGCAGGAGCAGAGACACAGAGCUUAAUGUGACUUCACAUCCAUACUCAUUUCCCUUGAUGAGGAGUGGCUGCAAUGAAGUCUUGAGAAAUGCAAGUUUUCCUCGGACGGGUUCACUAGCUUGCUUCAUCUGAAGAGUCAAGCAUAAGUGAUGUCUAAUCUCUUAAUUCAUCUAAAUUGGAAGAAUCCCGGAUGAUAUUGUACUCGUCGGCCUCAAGAGGUACUGUGGAAAGGUGUCGCGGAGAAGAGCAGAGUCCGUGCAAAUCUCGUCACUGUCACAGCUAGUAAUGGCUUCCUGUAGCGCGCGGAGAUGUAGCGCGCACCAUGGCGCUGUCAUGUCAGGGGCACGGGGCCUGGGCGCCAUUUGCUGUUCCACGUCAAACUUGACAGCUUGUGCGCAACUUGUGCGCAUGCGCGCCCACAGCGCAUGCGCGCAAGAGCCCCCCCAGGGCGGGGAGUAUUUCGAUCUGGCCAUCCGAUCUGGCCAAUAAUAAUUUAAGCACGAUCACUCCAUUCUGGCCUGAGCCAUUGGGUUGAUGACACGUCAGGGCUUUGUCUGGCACCGUAUAUAUUCUUCUGCCUCACGGGGACAGGGUCUUUUGCCUCUUUACAACCUCAAGUGUAAGUGCUCCAAUAAAGUGUGUUCUGAGAAGAAUCCUGUUGUAGUCGUCUCUUCUGCUGGCGGGAGCGGCGUGCUGCAGCUUCCGUCACACAGCAGGCGAUUUACUGUUCAACUACAGCCUCCCCACACUAAUGCAACCUGUAGCUAACAGCGUCCUAACAGUGGGUCUUCUAAAGCUUUUCAAGAUCACUGUUAGAUUCAUUUGGAUUUCUUGAAUUUUCAUUGAAUUUUGAUCUUGAAAGCCAUCUUCCUCUCCCAUUAGAAGGUAGGUUUUUCCCAGGGAAACAUAAACAUUUAGCUAGAGGCAGGCCCAACUUGGCUAUGCAAGAAAGCACAAAAGUAUCUGGCCAGAUAUCAGUAAGUUAGGCCUGUGCUAAUUCACACAGAUCUCUCCUUUCCGUAAGCUCCUUGCUAAGAAGAGCCAUGUGCAGGCCAACAUUUAGCAAC